rnacentral:rRNA from 1 species
GACGAACGCUGGCGGCAUGCCUAACACAUGCAAGUCGAACGAGACCUUCGUGUCUAGUGGCGCUCGUGUGCGUACGGCGUGGGAACCUGCACUUAGGUUCGGAAUCGCUCCCCGAAAGGGGUGCUAAUACCAGAUAAGCUCUUAGGACCAAAGAUUUGUCGCCUUUGGAUGGGCCCGGGUUGGAUUAGCUAGUUGGUAGGGUAAAAGCCUACCAAGGCGACGAUCGAUAGCUGGUCUGGGAGGAUGACCAGCCAGACUGGGACUGAGGCACGGCCCAGACUCCGACGGGAGGCAGCAGUAGGGAGUAUUGGACAAUGGGCGAAAGCCUGAUCCAGCAAUGCCGCGGGAGUGAUGAAGGCCUUAGGGUUGUAAAGCUCUCUUACCCGGGAUGAUAAUGACAGUACCGGGUGAAUAAGCUCCGGCUAACUCCGUG